UCCCCUCGAUCCCCCAGAUCCCAACGAGGCAACCACGCCGCCACCCACACCCACCCACCACUGGCACCGUAGCCUCGUCUCCUCCCCUCGAUCCACCCUCGCGCCGGCACCGCAGCCUCGUCUCCACGACCUCGUACCAUCCACGCUUGCUCCACAGCGCCUCCGACGACCGCGCCCGGAGCGCGACGGCGCCGCCGUUCCGAGCACUUACGGCGUCGGCCCGGCCCCCAAAACCCUCGCGGCGGCCACGCAUCCCUCCAUCGUUCGCCGUUGUCGCCGCCGCCACGCGAUGCCCGUGGGCAUCUGAUCCAUGUCUCACCCCCACGCCUGCGCCCCCAAGCGUCGUCCUAGGGUUCUGUUCUGCGGCUGACCGGAGUCCAAGCCAUGGCGCGGAAGAUGCUCAAGGACGGGGAGACGCGCGUCAUCGCUGACGGCGGGGGCGUGGAGAGCUACGACUGCGACCUGUUCGUCUGAGAUCCACCGCGUUCGUCCAUCGAGGACAUGAGGACCUUGGAACCAUGGCGACCAUGACCAGCGAACAAAUGGGGCCACCGGGUUCAGCAUCAUCGACUGACCAUAGUCCUUGGCGCUUGCUCAGGAUGCUCCGACGAUCACCAGAAUUCCCUUCAGAGCCAUACUUCAUUUUUUGCUUGGUAUGCUGCUGGUCUGAAUCUACUUACAUGCUUGACUUAAUUUAACUUGGUGCUGAAACAAGCACUCGGUUGGGGCCUCCUGGGCGAUGCCUACGACCGCUGCGGCGAGGUCUGCGCCAAGUACGCCACCUUCUACUUUGCUACUCCACUGAACUACAGUACUGAAGUACUGCUUGAACUACUGCAGUGUUGUUUCCAAUACAGCAGUAUUGGAGUAUUGCUUCCGAUUACUGGAGUAGCAAGUGCAUUAAUAGUGUACUGCUCUUGUUUAGUAGUGUAGGAAUUUAGUGUUCUUCUCUUCUCUAUUCUAUUCUCUUCUCCUCUUGUUCAUUGUUCAGUAGUGUACAUGAUCAUGAUCAACACUGAAACAUUUCUUAACUGAUUUACUCCCUAUUGUCAGCAUUGAUGCUUUCUUCAAAUUUAUGAGAAAUUAAGAUGCAUCAUUAAAUUAACUGAUUUUUUCUUAAUUAAGAUGCAUCAUUAAGCAGCAGGAGUACCCAUUUGUACUGUACCUAAAAGAACUUUACAUUUACAUACACAACAUGCAAAUCACUUCUGUUGACUACCCAAAUCAAUCCGAGACAUGCACAUAUUUCUCUCUGGAUUGUGCAAAUUAGACGAACUACUCUAAUUUAAACAAGUUGGGAUCCAUCACUACAAUAGGAGUAUGUUUGCAUUUCACCUAGCUUGUAAUCAAUAACCUAGUCCUUAAGUAAAUGUUUGAUUACAUCAUGAGCUUUCCUACAAAUUAGUUAGGUAGUGGUUUCAGCUGCUGCAUUGUUGCUUAUAUUUGAUAUACUACACAAUGUGACUGGAGUUUAUUGUGA